AGGCCUUGGUGGGGUCUGUCAGCCCUGAAUCAACUUCCAGCCUUCCAAGCAGGUGGCCAGGUCCCAGGGGAUGCAACUGCAGGGCCAUGACCAGCUCUGUCCACCCUGCAGUGGAGUGACCAGAGAAAAUCCUGAUCUCCAUCAUCUCCUGCUAGUGCUCCCUGGAGAAUAGAUAGUCAAAAAGUGAUAUGGUUGCAUAUCACAUCCAGUUCUUGAGUCUGUGCACUGCCUACACAACCAUUGCUGUUGCUUCAAACAAGCAGUCCUAACGCUUUCUACUGUGAGCAGCUCAGCUCCCUUGGCUGCAGGAGUGUCAUGGGGAUGAGCAGAUGAUGCCUGCUUAGAACUUCUUGUGGCUGGGAAAGGACUGUGCUAGAGGUGCAGUGAAAAGUAUUUUUGUCAGUAAAACACUCUCCAGGGAAUCAUGGAUAAAACCACAUUUUCCAACCAGCUUCUGGCAGGGGAAGCCCAGGUGACCUCCUUGCAGCACAGUGUAAAGUCACAGAGGCUCCAGCUUGGCUCAGCCGCCUGCAGCCUGGGCAGAAGCAUUUCUCCUUUUCCAAGGCUUCAGAAGAGUCAGCAGCCAUCAGAUGGUGUGACAAAGGUGAUGGCACUCUGGAUUGGAAAAAAGGCACAAAAAAAACCUUUUGUGAAUAUUUACAUUAUGUUGUUGGACUUUUCCCUCCUUUCCACAUGAAGAGUGCCUUCCGUCAAAUAAUUGCUGAACCAGUUGAUCAAUUUCAAUCAAGUGGGACAGAAGGAGAGAGCUGUGAGACAUGAAGUUUCAGAAGAAAACAGGUUCUUUGAUUGUCGAUAAAUGCAGUAAACAACAGGCUGCUUUCUCUCAGAAGAAGUUAUAUGAAGUUGUCAUCCAUUUGAUGACCUGCAUUAGUGGAAAUCUGAACUGUAGUUUGGUGUUUCCACCCUCAUGGCAGAGUAAGAAGGAAUGAGAGCUCCUUCCCUAGGCCCUGUACCUCCUCCAAGCCCACAGCCUGGCUCUGCACAUAGGAAAAUGUGUGAAUGCUGUAACUCUGUCUCCUCCACUUGAAAGCAGAAGAAUUUAAUCAACUGAGGAGCUGAUCAUGGCUUUGGGACAGAGAGGAGGACUUGAGAGCUUCCAGGCAUCUCCUCUGCUCCAUCAGGUGCCUUUCUUCCCCAGGAGCUGCCUUCACAUCAGAGAGCACUCUGAAAGUUUUCUAGGUGUCAGACAAUCCUGGAGCCAAGAACCUCCAAACACGUUUCAUCCUCUGGUUUCCCUGAAACUUUAGUUACACCUUGAAGUUACUGGAAUACAUGUUCUGUUCAAGCAACCAUAUAUAAAAUUGCCUUGGGGAUCAGCUGAGACCUCGUGGAAGAAAUCUCAUUUGAAACAACAGGAAGGUACUUCACCUUGGCUCAAGCCACAGCACAACACAUGCCUUCUCCUCCUUCUCCAGCCCUGCUGUGAGUCAAAGGCAUUUUCAGAGCUGCUACUUUCCUGUGCUGAACAGCCUUGAGCCUCUUCCUGUUGCUC